UACGUAGGUGGCAAGCGUUGUCCGGAUUUACUGGGCGUAAAGGAUGCGUAGGUGGAUAUUUAAGUGGGAUGUGAAAUACCCGGGCUCAACUUUGGGUGCUGCAUUCCAAAACUGGAUAUCUAGAGUGCAGGAGAGGUAAGUGGAAUUCCUAGUGUAGCGGUGAAAUGCGUAGAAGAUUAGGAAGAACACCAGUGGCGAAAGGCGACUUACUGGACUGUAACUGACACUGAGGCAUGAAAGCGUGGGGAGCAAACAGGAUUAGAAACCCCCUGGUAG
rnacentral:rRNA from 1 species